rnacentral:rRNA from 1 species
UACGAAGGGGGCUAGCGUUGCUCGGAAUCACUGGGCGUAAAGGGUGCGUAGGCGGGUCUUUUUUUUUUUUUUUUUUAAGCAGGGGUAAAUCCGUGGAAGCUCAACUCCAGAACUGCCUUUGAUACUGAGGAUCUUUGAGUUCGGGAGAGGUGAGUGGAACUGCGAGUGUAGAGGUGAAAUUCGUAGAUAUUCGCAAGAACACCAGUGGCGAAGGCGGCUCACUGGCCCGAUACUGACGCUGAGACACGAAAGCGUGGGGAGCAAACAGG